rnacentral:lncRNA from 1 species
UAAGAGAAAUGCUGAGCUCAGAAUGAUUUGAUCCUCUUUUUAUGGAAUAUUUGCUGUGGUAUUAUAAACGUUUCUGCCCAAAUGAAGGACCCUAAAGAAGGAAGAAGUCCCUGGUGCUCCAUCGCUCUCAUGACCUUGGCAUCCUUCCUUGGCAUACACCCACUACCUAAGCAGUUGGUUCGUUUAGCUUUCUUGUAUCAUAUCUUGUAUCAAAGACUCCUUUGCCUCUUAGGAAAUAUUUUUAACUUAGUUGUAGAACACACUAGUGCUCCUUUCAGUGGAGCUGAAUUUAAUUUGUCUCUCCUGGUUUAGUGCAAUUGAAUCAUCUCAGGAAAAUGAGAAGCAAUUAAGUACCUGUUGCUAACAAGGUGCUGAAAUAAUCUGCCAACAGAUGCAAAGUGUUUAUUUAUUAUUGGAGUAUGUCAUUUGAGAAAACAUUACGUUGUCUUUCGACAAUCAGAAUUGACUUUCAAAUGCAGGCAUCACAGACCUAACAAGUACCACCUAUGAGGAGCACUGAAAA